rnacentral:rRNA from 1 species
GAUCAUGGCUCAGGAUGAACGCUGGCGGCAUGCCUAAGACAUGCAAGUCGAACGAGAUGGCCCAGUGAAGGUUGCGUGCUUGCACAAGACUGAAUCUGGAUCACCAUCUAGUGGCAGACGGGUGAGUAACACGUGGGUGACCUACCUUUUCGUUGGGGAUAACAGUUGGAAACGAUUGCUAAUACCGAAUAAAAUAUAAGAGCCAAUUUUAUAGUUGAAAGGAGCCUUUAAAGCUUCG